AAUUGCUUCUGAACAGUACAGUUUUAAGAAAAAAGUUUUGUUAUUUCAUAUUAGUUCUAAGUAUAAAGUGAAAUUACUUAUAUCGAAUCAUAGUGCACCAGAAUUCUUGAAGCACCAAAAACUGACUCGGCUCUUCCUUCUUUUUUCGUUUGUGGUAAGACUUAUAUGUGUAAUCGCCUACGCUGACAAUGGGCAAUAAGAAUGAACUCUUGCCCCGUAUUGAGAGGAUAUCUCUUUGGAAACUACACCAUACUUCGAUGAAACACACCAAACUGGCAAAGAAAGCCUUCCGAAAAUGCCAUGAUGACACCAUUACAUGUGUUCUUCUUGCAGGAGAUUACAUAAUAAAAUCAGAAACACUACCAGACUCAAAACCAUAUGAUAUACAUCAGUUCGCAGAAUAUAUGUGGAUAUAAAACUAAAACCGUUAUACAUAAGAAUAAUAUAAUAUUUUAAUACUAGUCAUGGAGAUAACUCUCUCUCCUCGUUCAGACACACCAUACCUGGAUCAAACACACCAAACUGGCCAAGCAGGAGACCUUCCCUAAAUGCCAUGAUGACACCAUUACAUGUGUUCUUCUUGCAGGAGAUUACAUAAUAAAAUCAGAAACUCUACCAGACUCAAAACCAUAUGAUAUACAUCAGUUCGCAGAAUAUAUGUGGAUAUAAAACUAAAACCGUUAUACAUAAGAAUAAUAUAAUAUUUUAAUACUAGUCAUGGAGAUAACUCUCUCUCCUCGUACAGACACACCAUACCUGGAUCAAACACACCAAACUGGCCAAGCAGGAGACCUUCCCUAAAUGACAUGAUGACACCAUUACAUGUGUAUGGGGAAUUACAUAUUAAAAACAAAUGCUCGAGUACACUGAACAUCAAAAUACAUUUGGAUAUAAUACUAAAAACUUUAAAUAUAAUAAAUUUACACUUUUACA